ACGGGAGGCAGCAGUGGGGAAUAUUGGACAAUGGGGGAAACCCUGAUCCAGCGACGCCGCGUGAGUGAAGAAGUAUUUCGGUAUGUAAAGCUCUAUCAGCAAGGAAGAAAAUGACGGUACUUGACUAAGAAGCUCCGGCUAAAUACGUGCCAGCAGCCGCGGUAAUACGUAUGGAGCAAGCGUUAUCCGGAUUUACUGGGUGUAAAGGGAGCGUAGACGGCAAUGCAAGUCUGAAGUGAAAGCCCGUGGCUUAACUGCGGGACUGCUUUGGAAACUGCAUGGCUAGAGUGUCGGAGAGGUGAGUGGAAUUCCCAGUGUAGCGGUGAAAUGCGUAGAUAUUGGGAGGAACACCGGAGGCGAAGGCGGCUCACUGGACGAUUACUGACGUUGAGGCUCGAAAGCGUGGGGAGCAAACAGGAUUAGAUACCCUGGUA
rnacentral:rRNA from 1 species